rnacentral:rRNA from 1 species
AGGGCGUAUGGGGAAUGCCUAGGCACACUCCGGCGAAGAAGGACGCAGCAAACAGCGAAAUGCGACGGUGAGCGGUAAGCACGUGAAGAGCCGUCGAUAUCCGAAUGGGGGAACCCACACGGAGUCAUAUCCGUGUAUCACAUGUCGAAUACAUAGACAUGAUGAGGCGAGACGCAGGGAACUGAAACAUCUAAGUACCUGCAGGAAGAGAAAAUAAGAAUGAUUUUCUGAGUAGCGGCGAGCGAAAGGGAAAGAGCCCAAACCGAUUUGAGGAUCGGGGUAGUAGGAUCAUCGAUAAAUCAAACAGAGGAUCAUAGAGGAAUCACAUGGGAAGGUGAGCGAGAGAGGGUGAGAGCCCCGUACUCGAAAUGAGAGACUGGAGAGAGAUGACACCUGAGUAGGGCGGGACACGAGAAAUCCUGUCUGAAUCAGCCGGGACCAUCCGGCAAGGCUAAAUACGAGAGAGUGACCGAUAGUGAACCAGUACCGUGAGGGAAAGGUGAAAAGAACCCCGGGAGGGGAGUGAAAGAGAACCUGAAACCAUAUGCCUACAAGAAGUCAGAGCCCGUUAAAGGGUGAUGGCGUGCCUUUUGUAGAAUGAACCGGCGAGUUACUGUAUGGAGCGAGGUUAAGCAGGAUAUGCGGAGCCGAAGCGAAAGCGAGUCUUAAGAGGGCGCGAGUUGCAUGCAGUAGACCCGAAACCGGGUGAUCUAGCCAUGACCAGGUUGAAGUUGGGGUAAAACCCGAUGGAGGACCGAACCGACCCCCGUUGAAACGUUGGCGGAUGAGUUGUGGCUAGGGGUGAAAUUCCAAUCGAACCCGGAGAUAGCUGGUUCUCCCCGAAAUAGCUUUAGGGCUAGCGUCGAGAGAAGAGUUGCGUGAAGGUAGAGCACUGAAUAUGUGAUGGCCCCAUCUCGGGGUACUGAGCAUAAUCAAACUGCGAAUGUCACGCCAACAUGCUCGGCAGUCAGACAGCGGGUGAUAAGGUCCGUUGUCAAGAGGGAAACAGCCCAGACCAUCAGCUAAGGUCCCAAAAUGUAUGCUAAGUGGAAAAGGAUGUGGAGAUGUACAGACAACUAGGAGGUUGGCUCAGAAGCAGCCAUCCUUUAAAGAGUGCGUAACAGCUCACUAGUCGAAUGACUCUGCGCCGAUAAUUUACCGGGGCUAAGCAUACUACCGAAGCUAUGGAUCCCAAGGGAUGGUAGGGGAGCGUUCCAUGAACGGAGAAGUACGACCGAAAGGACGUGUGGAGAUCAUGGAAGAGAGAAUGCCGGUGUGAGUAGCGGAACGUGGGUGAGAAUCCCACGCACCGAAAACCCAAGGUUUCCAGAGGAAGGUUCGUCCGCUCUGGGUAAGUCGGGACCUAAGGCGAGGCCGAAAGGCGUAGUCGAUGGACAACAGGUAGAGAUUCCUGUACCCGUAUAUAUGUGAAGGAAUGACGGAGAGAGGAAGCUGCAGCCAGCGGCUGGAAGAGCUGGUGCAAGCGAGAUAUCGGGAUGGCAGGCAAAUCCACCAUCCGAAACGAGAAGGCGUGAAGCGUACGGAAAGCUACGGCGAGUACGGAAGGCAGUGGAGGAACUUCCAAGAAAAGUUUCUAACGUUAAGUAUAUAUGGCCCGUACCGAAAAUGGACACACAUGGGUGAGGAGAGAAUCCUAAGGUGAGCGAGAGAACUAUAGCUAAGGAACUCUGCAAAAUGACUCCGUAACUUAGGGAGAAGGAGUGCUCAUAGAGAUAUGAGCCGCAGUGAAACGGCCCAAGCGACUGUUUACCAAAAACACAGCUCUCUGCUAAGCCGCAAGGCGAAGUAUAGGGGGUGACGCCUGCCCGGUGCUGGAAGGUUAAGGGGAGGGGUUAACGCAAGUGAAGCCCUGAACUGAAGCCCCAGUAAACGGCGGCCGUAACUAUAACGGUCCUAAGGUAGCGAAAUUCCUUGUCAGGUAAGUUCUGACCCGCACGAAAGGCGUAAUGAUUUGGGCACUGUCUCGACAAUGUACCCGGCGAAAUUGUAGUACUAGUGAAGAUGCUAGUUACCUGCGACAAGACAGAAAGACCCCAUGGAGCUUUACUGUAGCUUGAUACUGGGUUUUGGUAAUUUAUGUACAGGAUAGGUGGGAGACUGAGAAGUUUGGGCGUUAGCCUAAAUGGAGUCAACCUUGGGAUACCACCCUUAGAUUACUGAAAUUCUAACCUGCGAUCGUUAACCGGUCGGGGGACAAUGUCAGGUGGGCAGUUUGACUGGGGCGGUCGCCUCCUAAAGAGUAACGGAGGCGCCCAAAGGUCACCUCAGCGCGGACAGAAAUCGCGCAAAAGAGUGCAAAGGCAGAAGGUGGCUUAACUGGGAGACUGACAAGUCGAGCAGAUACGAAAGUAGGGCUUAGUGAUCCGGCGGUAGUGAGUGGAAAUGCCGUCGCUCAACGGACAAAAGUUACCCUGGGGAUAACAGGCUUAUCUCCCCCAAGAGUUCACAUCGACGGGGAGGUUUGGCACCUCGAUGUCGGCUCAUCGCAUCCUGGAGCUGAAGUCGGUUCCAAGGGUUGGGCUGUUCGCCCAUUAAAGCGGUACGCGAGCUGGGUUCAGAACGUCGUGAGACAGUUCGGUCCUUAUCUGUCGCAGGCGAAGGAAAUUUGAAGGGAGCUGUCCUUAGUACGAGAGGACCAGGAUGGACAUACCGAUGGUGCAUCAGUUGUCACACCAGUGGCACAGCUGAGUAGCUAAGUAUGGAAGGGAUAAACGCUGAAAGCAUCUAAGUGUGAAGCCCACCCUAAGAUAAGAUAUCCCAUACCGAUAAGGUAGU